rnacentral:tRNA from 1 species
GUUAACGUAGCACAAUCUGGCCCUGCAAGAGACCUAAGCCCUUUUAAUAGAGGUUCAAAUCCUCUCGUUAACU